GGCAGCCUGAGCAUGGCUCUUCUCUCUGCCAGCUUCUCUUCUAUUUGCAGGAUGAGCAUGAUCAGACUGUCCAGGGAUUCCGGCUGAGGGACCCGGAAUAGAUAGUGCCUGAUCUCCUCGUUGAGCCCCUGGCACAGGUCUUGCAUUCGGAAGUACAGCGUGAUGAUGGACCUCACCAUGGCCAUAAGCUCCGCGGUAGAGUGCUCGGUCUGGUUUUGCCCUUCUUGAGGAGCCUCCUCCCUUCCCGAUUCCUUCAGGCACAGUGUUGGAUCCCCAUGGAGGGAAAUGGAGGCAGACCCACCUUGCAGAUCAUUACCUGGGAGGAGAUGAGGCCCCGCCCUGGAGACGAAUACCCUGAUGGAGGUGGUGUGAAGGGGAGAUGGCUGCCUUCUCCUGGGAAGGGAGCAGAUGCUUGGCCCAGGACCAAAUCAGAAGCUGAGGCUCACUGCCCCCAGUGGGCAGUGGGUCAGGGUGUUUCUGAGGCCAGGUCGUGGCCCAGCCCUGCUGCCCCCAGGAUGGCCCCUGGCUUGGAGGGGUGUGGGGCCCUGUUAGUCUGACAUUGAAGAAGACCAGCCUUCCAGUCUCGCUUGGUGGCCUGCCAGAAGCCCUGGGCACCCCAGUGUUGCCUGGAUCUGACUCUGCCUCCGUGAAAACUGCCUCGAAUUCUCUCUUGCACCGAGAUGGGCAGAUGGGCAGUGUCCGAGGAGCAUGUGGUCUGCCCUGUGGCGCGGGGUAAGUCUGCAGUGAGGUGGGGCCCAGGCUGGCAUCCCCCCACUGCCUCAGCCUGCUCCAUGCCAGCUUCCCCUGCCUGCUGUGUGCAGGGCCCCAGAACCCAGGGUUGUGGGGUCCACGGGCAGGAGUUGCAUCUCAGUGUUGUGAGUUCUGAGGAUGACGUUUGGGCUUGAUUACAGCUGGGAAAUGGCUGAUUGCCAUUAUGGCUCCUCCUUGCCAGGGGUCUGGACCCAGAACAGGAGAAGGACAUGUGAUGACUAGAGUAACGGUGAGGGCUCUGGGGUAAGACAGGGCUGAGAGGGAGCGUGUGGACCUCUGGGACAGAGUCAUAAUUCCAGAAAGAGCACAGGCUUUGAGGGAGAGGGGCUAUGAAGCCAAGGCAGCAUCCCCGUUGGGAGCUUGUCAGGAGUAGCAGGAGCCACUGUCAGUGUUCUGGGCUUUUGGUCCCUUUUUUUCUCUCCCAGGGGAGGGGAGAAGAGGCAUUGCAGGGAGCGAGCCACCCUGAGCACAGACCCAGCUACGAACAGACAUUGGGUUGCUUGUCCUUGGCAAAUCCCCAAGUGUUUCUGUGCCUUGGUUUCCUGAUAUUUAAAAAAAAAAAGACUCAUAAUCUCUCUCUCACAGGGCUAUUGAGAUCUCAAUGAGGAAAUAGCGCAAAUAAAUCAUCCAGCAGGGUAGCCAACACACAGUACCCGGCAAAACUCGGUGGCUCUCUGCAUGUUAUCACGUCACAAAAUGCUUAACCCCUCCUGGAGACAGGCAGCCGCUCCCUUUCAGGGCAGGGAGACCCAACAGAGGAAAACAAAAGCUCCAGAGAGAACGCCAGGGGGAAAUAAAAGCUGGUGCUUCACCCCCUCCCAGACACCUUCCCAGGGAAACAAACAUGUACCUUCCCCAACACCUGGGGGCCAGGGAAGGGGUAUCCCACCGCUUUUCAUUCGGCUUUCCCAAAAAGUUUGGGGAGAGUUUAUUUUUACGUAAAUAGCAUAAAAAAGUCAGAGUCCUCCUUGGGCAGACUUUCCGAGCCUCAUAUUUUAUGGACUUUGGCAAGGAUCGCUCGGAAGGAACAGUGGUUACAGUCUCCAGAGGCUCAUAAUUCCUGGAAGAACUUCUGCUUAAACCUGACUUCUCCUAAACUUCACAGAAAAUUCUCCCUGGGCUGGGCUCAGCCUAAAUGAGCUUUUUGUGCAUUGGUCCAGCCUCACCUAGUGGGAGUAUGACUUGCACGUUGUCUUUACACAAAAGCGAACCUCCUCGGCCACUGUGCACAAAGGCGCCACUCUCCGAAACGUUUGAUUUAUUUACUUGGGAGCGUGAGCCUGGUCAGGCACGUCUGACACGGGGGAUACUUCUCUGUGGCUCUGUGUACGGCUGCCCAGGUCUCUGCAGUUUCUUCCUGCGCUUCAGGCAGAAACCCAUGCCCUGACUUCCUCCAGCACAGGGCAAGGGACCCAGAGCAGAAAGUGGGGUAGGGACACUGUCCCCUCCCUGGCCGGCAAGGGCUAAAGAGCUUGCUACCCCAUGGCGGUUGCCUCUAAUAGGGAUUUGGGUGGGUGGCUUUUCAUAUCUAUGCCAAAGCUCUUCAGAACCAUUUCUGCACCACCAGCUAUCCUGAACCAGAAAUCCCUGUUCACAGAAUUUCCCAGGUGGGUGCCUCUCAUUCUGCACACCCUCCCCCAUUUAUGUAAACGUCACUCUCCCAAACAUUUUCACAUCUGCAGCUUCAGAUUGACCCUUUCAUAGGUUAAAACAGCAGCACCAAUAAAACCAACAUAAACGGAGGCUCUGAGAAACAGUUUUUCCUCAAGGGCUUGCAGUGCCCAACCGAGCUGCCAGGGCCGUCUGUCUGUCUGUUCCCAGGAAGGCAAACCAGCCUGCACGCUCCACCAGCAACGCGAUGCUGCCCCCCCACGGCGGGUUGGGGCAGCUGUGGUGACCCCAGGGCUGAUAGAUUGGGUUGUCAGGAGCGGGACAAUGAGGCGGCAGUGAGGAAGGGCUCCAUCCUUUAAUGACUCUGCCCUCCCUGAAAUUUUUCUGCCCCACAGAGGUGCAUCUCUGCUCCUGGGGACCCUGGGCAUUUUACAGACAAGGAGCCCUGGCUGGCCUCACAGCCAUCCUCCGUAUGCUCACAUACACACACGCACAUAGGCACACACACAUAGCUGAGUGCCUGUGCUGGGAACAAAGGCAAAAAAAACUCCUUUAGAAACUGCAGAACAGAGGCUUGUCUAGCAGAGGUCCCCUGAUAAAGGCUCUGUCCACCCACAGUUCCUGGGAACUGAACCCCUGUGAAUGGGCCAGAAAAGGUAGCUCCUGACCACAGUGUGGGCUGCAUUCAUCAGCAGGCAGGCCCCCCAGCCCUGCUGCUGUGUGAGGAGCUUUCACGAGUCCCCAGAACAUGCAAGUCACAGUCUGGCAGCUGGUUGCCUGUGUGGCUGCUGUUCAGCCUCCAGAAAAGGGCCCCUCAAACUGCCAGACUCCCUCCCUCUACUCAUUCCAUCACUCUGCCAGCCUGUUGUCCCAGAGGGGACAGAGGCCAGCUCUGUGGGCCCAGGAGCCAGGGAAGGUGCUUGGCCACUCUAGGUGCCCUGGCCCUCGAGAGGGGAGUUGGCUGCAGGACAGUCCCCAUCUCCCCCCACCAGCUCUGGGCACUCACCCCCAUUCUCUGCUCUUCUCCCCCAUUGCCUCAAUGGGACAGAGCCACCCCGCCAACCAUCUCUGUGCCUUUGCCAUUUAGCCCAGGGCAAGCUACUUGGGAGAGGCUGCACAGCCUUGCACUGACCCCUACCUGGUCCCCUUUGGCCACCUCGCUCACUCGCCCGCUCGCCUGCCCGAGAGUUGGUGCUACGGGAGCUUCUUAAAGGCCUAAACGUGGGCUGCCAGCCCGGGCAGGAAGCCAUGCUGCAGCCUCCUUGGCCGUGCACCGGCCUGCCUGUCUCGGCUCGGAUGCCUCCUGUAACAGGGAGCUCCCUCUUCCCCCAAGCAGCCUGCUCAGGGCUCGCAUACGGAGCUGCUUUGCCGAGCCCUCCCCUGCCUUUUGCAUCUGACUUCUUGACUGUGCAGCAGUCCCCUAGCCCUCUCUGCCCUCCGAUCUCUGCAGGCUGCAGGCUCCCUCUCUUUUCAGUCCUCUCCUUUCUGUGCUGAAUGGCAAAACCCCCCACCAAUGGUGGAAAUAGGUUUGGGGGCCUCUGGACCUGUGCUAACACCUCUGCCUCUGCUCCUCUAGACCUGGGACAGAGCUCUUUGCCCUGCUGUUCUGCAAGAAGCCCAGGGGAGGGCGCGGUGCUCCCCUCCUGUGGCCAGCUACUCCAUGUCUAUCUGUUCAGCAGCUUCUGAGCCCUCUCGGGUUGUUGUAUGGCCCCUUUUCCAGUUGCCAGGGAGAACGCUCUCUAUGCAGCCCCCUGCCUUUCCUGCAGGAGCAGCUGGACUCCCGGCUAGCCUGGUCAGCCCUGUAGCAGAAGCAGGAGCAGCAGCAGGCAGGGCUAGGGUCCCCUGAGCCCAACAGACCGACUUGACUCCCUGCUCUCUAGCUGCCAGACAAUUCCCUUUACUUUUCAGAGUCUCAGCUUUUCCCCUGUGAAAUGGAGAUGAGAGUUUCUCUGUCACCGGCUUGAAGUGAGGACUAAAUGAGAUAAGUGAGCCUUGCACACAUCAGACACUUCAUCAGUGCUUGUGCAGUAGACGGUGGGACCCAGGGGGAGCGAGGUAUGUAACAAGUGUCGCAAGAGAGAAAACAGCCUGGCCUUUCAAUACCCUGCUCCGAAUACAGACGGGGACCUCUCCUGGCAGAGUCCCCUCUGCUGGCUUAAUCGCACAAAUCAAGUCAGCCGGAGGCAGCCCCUGGCCUAAGGAACUCACAGAAGAUGCAGCAGGCGGCAGAAAUGACAGGCAGAGCACACAUCUGCAUUUAAUAGACCGAGAAUUUGCAUUGUAUCUAACAGCAUGAGGGGUAAAGCAUGAAGGCAUAAAGGAACAUUUUUCCCAGCAGCUUCCUUGAAGGGCCAGUUUAGACAGGGAGGGGUCUGGGGAAGAGAAACCCAGCGGGGUCCAGGCAUCCCGUAGACUAUGGAAUAGACAUCCAUCCACACACUCAUCCCCCAAGCCACCGCAGUGUGCCUACCUUCCCCGGGCCCAGUCCCGAGCGUGAGGCUGGGAUGAAGUGAUGCCGGUGGCUUCCUGUCCUUGAAGCUCAGUCGGUCUGGUGGGGGAAAGAAACAGGGACUAAGUCGAGGCGACCAAGAGGGGAUGAAGGCGUGGAGAUUUACGGAGCCCCAUCUUGGAACCAAGUCCAGAACUGGGUUGUCUGAAAAGAACUCACUAGGGCAAUAACCCUGCACACUGGUCUCAUGGGCUCCAUUACAUUGAUGAGGAAACUGAGGCACAGAAAGGCAAAGUCCUAUACUCACCGUCUCUCAGCUGGUCUGAGGCCGGGCCAGGAUGGAACCCCAGAUUCUCCGAGGCUCCCCACCACACCCUGCUGCUGAAGGCUGCUCAGCGAGCCUGUGCCGAGUGCUGGGGGGGUGUGGGUGGGCAGGGGACGGAUUGAUUAGUUAUAAGCACCUCCCAGCGGUGCUUGAGAUCCCAGCUCCUCUGUGGCCCAAUCCGUUUGAAGGGCAGAUUCAAAAUUAGGUGGUAGCACCUAUGGGCAGAGGCUUAUGAAAAUGGCAUUAUUAACCUGAUGUGGAGAGGGCCCUGCCUGUCUGCAAGUAGAUUGCAGAUAGAGACAGAGGGGGCUGGGCUUGUUUGUGUGGACAGUGAGUUAGAGAGGACGCAGAACAUCCAGGGGCCCUCCGGGGCUUCCGGACAGGGAGAACCAGAUCUGGAGGGGCUGGGGCUGGGCAAGUGGGAGAGGGAAGAGGGGGCACAGCUUAAGGGUGCCCCAGCACCUCAGGGAAAUGCCCCAGGCUGGACUUGGAGGAGGCUCUGCAGCCUUGAGUCUGACACAGACAGGGACUAUGGCCCUCCCCGCACCUCGGUUUCCCAUUUGGGAGAUAAGAGAUGGAAACCAAACACCAUUUCGAGAAAAGCCCCCGUUCCCACCACCUUCCCGGCCCCCCUCUUCCCCCACCACCACGAUCGCGGUUGCCAGACACCUGUCUGCUUGUCAGAGCAAUAUUCAACAGGAGAGUUCCUUCCGUUCCUUCCUGGAGGGAGAAGGGAGAGGUGUGGACGGGGAAAGGGGAGGGGAGAGGUGCCCCCCCACUCAGAGAGGCCGCUGAGCGGAGUUCUGCAUGGGUAGGAGUUGGGCCACCGAAGAUUUGUGCCAACUCACGGUGCGGUGGAAUCAGACAGUCUGAAUUCUUCAGACACCAGCCAGGCGUCUGUGGCGCCCCCACGUGCCACAAGGGGGCUGCCUGGGCCACAUUUUUGAGUCCGAAAAGUGAGGAGGGGGACAGGCAAGAGGGGCCGGCGCUUUUGCUCAGGCAGCGGCGCUUUUAACUGCGACAGAUGCGUGCGGUCCAGGGGAGCCGGGGAGCCGGGGAGCCGGGGAGCCCGGGCCCGGGUUGGGGGCCGGGGGCUGCCGGGCGGCGGUGGUCGCGGCGGGGGGCGGGGGCUGCAGGGCGCGCCCCUCCCUCACGGGCGGCUGCGCUGCAAUGCAGCAGCCGGAGAGGUCCUGUCCGGUGUCUUUCCAAAGUGGGGAAUGAGACGAGGGAGGGAGGGAGCGCUGGCUUCCAGGCGCUGCGUGGUGGCCGGGCGCCCAGGAAGCCGAGGGGCCAGAAAGAGAAGAGUGGGGGAGGAGGCAGGGCGUGGCGGCUGGACCAAGGGGCAGAGGGAGGUGGGUGUGGAUCCGGGGUCGGCGCUUGUCAGCUUGCACCCACGAAGGACGGAAAGGAGGGCUCGCUCCAGAGAUACGGGGAAGAGUGGGGCCGAGCACAGCCAGAGCGGCUUGGCACACAGUUUUAGGGCAAAAGCAUCAACUCCUAUCUUUCAAAAAAAUAAAAAUAAAAAUAAAAAAAGUAAAAGCCAGAAGAAAGACAAAGAAAAAAACAAAAAAGAAAGCAUUUGAGAAAGCUAGACAGCUGAAUCCUUCCCGGCAUGACUGAGCCGGCCACCCGAGUCUUCCUUCAAAGCUUGUCUAAUGGGACACUGCGUUGUCCCAGUAACCAAAGUGGGACCAGGGUCCCAGGGAAGGGCGACUCAGGCACCGCUCUGCCUUGAAGAGAGGUACCCUCAGGCCCUUUUCCAGCCAGGGAGGGGUCUUGGGGUCAGGGAGGGAACUGGAGGGCUUGGGGAGGUGGGCUGGGAGUGAGGGUGGCGUGAGGAGCACUGGGUGGGGGGUUCAGGGCUCUCUGGGCUUCUGCAGCACUCUGCACCCUGGUACAUGGUCCUCAGUCCACUGAACGUGGAAUGAUUCUCUUCUCUCUGGAUGCAGCCCCUCUAGUUCCCUUUUCACUUUGAGGGAUUUGCCUCUGUGAAUCAGUUCCUACUACCCGGCAAGAUUUCUCUCCUACCCCAGGCCCCUUUGCUCUUGUGACUGGCACCCUCCACCCCCAGCCCUUUAUCUCCCGCACUGUAUGUUCACUUGUUGAUUUAGAACUCCCUUUAUUAUAGGAAAUUUCAAACAACACAAAAGUGGAGACGAUAGUGCAUAUUCUUACACAGUUCGCUCAGUGCUCAUAUUGUCAUCACCCAGAAACAGUGUUCAUCAAACCCUGGCCCCUCUUGUUUCAUCUAAACCCUAAACUCUGCCUCUGCUCCCACGCCUCAACUCCUACCCCUGGACUACUUCCAAGUAAAUUUCAGACACCAUAUUGUUUCCUCUGAGCAUUUUUUGUUUAUAUUUAUAAAUAAGAAAUUUUCUUUCUUAAAAAUAUAACCACAAUACCAUUAUCACAGAUAAAAAAUCAGUAGCAUUUCCAUAACACCGUCCGGCAAACACUCUCGAUCGACUCCUACAUUUCUUUUACAGUUGGCUUGGUCAAGUCAGUGUUGAAAGGAUCUCCUGCUCUUUCAAGGGGAUCUGGGGCUCUCAAAGACUAGAGGACUUUGAGAGGUUCGUAACUUGCCCAAAGUCGGCUGGGAAGCAAGACUCAGGAUUCCAACUCAGGUCUGUGUGAUUUCUCUGCAAAAUGGAGAGGUGGAAGGAUGGAUGUGAGGUCUGGUGGAGGGAGGAUGACUGCAUCCAGAUACAUGCAUAGAUGGAGAGAUGGCUGGCUACCUGAUGGAAGCUGGUAAGACGGAUGAGUGGACUGAAGCACAGGUGGUGGAAGGAGAGAGGAAUGAGAGAGAAUAGUCAAUUUCUCACCAAGAUCAAAGGCUUACUUAUCUUCGAAGAGAGGUUCCCUCUGAGUGGAGCUUGCUGGUGAAGCUCCUGCCUUCUGUUCUGCCUCUGAGCACACUGGCUGGCUCAGGUGGCUGUGGGACAACAGGUGGGAUGGCAGCUUACAGGGAUCAAGUCCCAGCCGUGGUGCUCCGUGAGCUGCUCAGUGGCAACUCCCUGUCUCUGCUGUUUUUACGCAGCGCUGAGGAAGAGCAGGCAUCUGCCUUUCCACUUGCUCUCCUGGAUGACUAAGCCCUAAGCCCCAACCGCAUGCACAGCCCUUCAUUGGCACUUGGCAUAAUUUUAUCUCCUCUAAAUCAUCACAGCCAGCCUCCAUGAUAGCAAUUUCCAUUCUUAAUUAAGCAAAAGGAAACCAGAGUUUAGGAGUGGUAAGUGACUUACCCCAAAUCAGAGGGAGCCAGUGCAGACCCAGGAUUUGAACUCUAGUCUUCUUUCCUUCCAAACUUAUCCCCUCAACCUGUUUAUUUCCUUUUCUUUGACCAUGUCUGAAAAGCUCCGCAUGCCUUGGGGUUCACUCAUGUUGGACUCACUCUCUUGCUCUGUCAGUUAACUGAACUUCUCAUCCAAUCAAAUCCAAGUUUAUUUCCCACGUAAUAUCUCUAGUGUGUUGUAUUUGUAAUGAUCACACAAAGGCCACACAUAUCACUGCAGUACACUUAAUCAAGUCAAAUUAGAUUCCUGGCAUCUCGUAUUCUGACUGAAUGCUAAUGGUAGCGUUUGUAAAAGUGACCCCUGUGCCAGACGAGGAGGGUGAGGACGGGACGGAGGUCUGAGUGGCAAUCAGGGAGCCUCGCUGCACAUCUGGCUUAAUGUUAGCACACGGGUUUUGAGAACCUAUUCAGAAUGUGUGGGCCCUGCCUCACACAUUCCAGGUGCUAAGGUUUCGAACUCAGCUGCGCCUGUGAGUUUGGACAACGUAUUUUAUUUCUGUGCCUCAGUUUCUUCAGUCGUACCAGUGGUACCUUACUAAUAGUGAUAGUACCUUACAAGUUAGUCCUUGAGGAUUAAAUCAGGCAAACAUAUAAAUUCCUUAAAAGAGAGCAUUCCAGACUGGGCGUGGUGGCUCAUGCCUGUAAUCCCAGCACUUUGGGAGGCUGACGUGGGAGGAUCACUUGAGCCCAGGAGUUUGAAAACAGCCUGAGAAACAUAGGGAGACCCUCCCCAAUCUCUACAGAAAAGCUAAAAAAUUAUCUGGGUGUAGUGGUGCACAUCUGUGGUCCUAGUUACUUGGGAGGCUGAGAGGAGAAGAUUGCUGGAAAGUCAAGGCUGUGCCACUGCGCUCAGCCUGGGCGACAGAGGGAAACCCUGUCUCCCCCACCCCCCGAGAAAAGAAGGCUUCCAGGUGAUGAGCAUUCAACAAGUAUUUACCUACAGUGAAAAUGACAGUCGUUAUAAGUAUUGUUAUUGAGGCGUCAUUUGAUAUCAUUGUCAGAUAAGAAUCAAUAGCUGAAGGGGUGCUCAGAGACGCCUGUGAGCUUGUCUUUGGAGAGAGAAUCAAUGGAAUUGAAACAGAAAUACUAAUUUAAAACUAGAAGUUCUAGUGAUGGAAGUAAGAGUUCCAUCAGCAAAGGGACAUGAUCCAUCUAAGGAAAGAUUAAGCCCUAGGAGAGGCGAAACUCCUGUGGAGGACUUUCCUUGCCAUAUAGGGAGUUACACAGGGGUUGGAUGGGAGCUGGUGAGAAGCUGAGUCGGUAAAAGGCAAGGUAAAUCGUUAAAAGUCUCUUAAUUAAAGCUUCUGAGGUUGAAUGAAAUUCGUUAACCUUCAUGGUUUCUCACAGUAGUGGACAAGGUUUUCCAGUUCUCAUGUAUGAUUUCAUUAAACUUCUUUCCCUACCUGUUUUUUUGGGGGAUAAAAUAGUUAUUUUAGAAACAUUUCUUGACUUGUUCUUUUGGAGGCUGCCAGCUGGAAAAAUUCUGAGACUCUUACCAUGUGGGGCUUGAGGACCGGGUGGCCUCCUCCCAUUCCCGGUACAUCAUGUCUGUAACCUGAGCCCAGGUGGCAUGUGGCUGUGUGUGGGGUGGCUCUGGGGGGGCAUCAGAUACCCUAACAUCUAGGUGGGAGGAUAUGGGUUUAGCAUGUUGAGUUUCGCUGUGAUCCCAGCAUUGCCUGACUCCAGAGUCUGGGCGCGUCCUGUGAGAACUGUAACCCCUGCAGCUCCUCCGAGAAGGACAGUUGAUUCACUCAUUCAGGUCUAAUGGUACAGCCUGGGAAUUCCCUCUGCUUUGGGGGCUGCCUGUGUGGGAGAAACCUUCACAGCUCCUCAUGAUUUACUCUCACACUCAAGUUGCGGGCUGGCUGCAGGAGUUUGCUGCCAAAAUGAGGCAUGGGGAAGCAGUGGAAAGGGUGGCUCCGGAGCCACGCUGCCCGUGUUUGCCUCCUGGCUCAGCAUCGCUUUGCUGGGGGGCCACUUACAAGUCAUCUAACUCCCCCGAGUCUGUUUCCUUAGGUAUAAAACAGAACUAGUAAUGUCAUUGCUCAGUCAUCGUCAUCGCAGUGACUUCCUCCCUCGUGCCACUGCCUGCCCCUUCCUGCUUUAUUUUCCUCCCCAGUUCUCACAAUCUUUGAUCCCAUGCAUUAUACUCACCUUUUCUGAUGGUUUUCUGCUCCUAUCCACCCACCAGGAUGCGAAUUCUCAUAGGGUGGGGAUCUGUCCGUUUUGCCCAUUGCUGUAUUCCCAGCACCCAGACCCAGUACCAGUACAAAGUGCAUGCUCAAAAAUUGCCGGGGGGAAAUUUAUAAGAUACUGUGGAAUUGUAUCCACCCCAGAGGAGUGUCAAUGUAUGCAAAGUAGGCAGCGUGGUGCUUGGUACAGAGUAUGCAUUCAAUAAAUAUUGGCUAAUUAUGAUUAUUAUGUCUAAUCCGCAGGGCUGUCGUGAGAAUCAAAUGAGAUAAUGUAUGCUGAGGCAUGCUGUGAACACUACGUGCUGGGUACAGGAGGUACAAUAUUAAUGAUCCUUGCUGCUUGGAGGGAACCUGUACUUAAAGUGUGAUGCUUUUCAUUUUCACACCACUUGGGAGGGAGGAAAGGCUGGUGGGAAGAUUGCCACCUGAGGCUCGGGGAGGGGACAGGCCUUCCUCAAGGGACCCCACGGUAUGAAGAAGGCAGGAGCCAGUCUCCACACUGGUGGUCUUCCCAUGACUCCCUUGUGAAAGUCCCCAAUGGACAGAUUGAUGUAUAUAUGACAAUAUCCACGUACACCAUAACUAUACAUAAUAUAUAGAAUUAUUUUUAGGUCCCUGAGUUGCUCUGAGAACAGUUGUGCCAGGUGGUGCCCACCCAGGACAGGCGGGGAGGGUAAGAGGGAAACUGGCUGUGUAUGGGUGGUGGGGCCCAUAGUGAAGCCUCCUUUGGUUUCUUGGAAUCAAGUUGGACAUCAAGAAUCUCAUGGCGUAGACUUCCCCAAAGGCAGUCCCAUUUCACAAAGUGAAUUUUCAUUUUCCAAAGCUCAUCCCUUAGUUGGAUUUCUGUUCUUCAGGGCACUUGUUUUAGCUCUGAUGGCAUGUCCAAAAAAGAACAGACCCCAACAAUUUCCUGCCCGAGUCCCAUCCUUCCCCCAAACCCUUGGCUUGACCUGAGCAUUGAGCUAAUUCAUUUCUUUGAUCAAACUGGGGACUGUCUGAGCAGUGGGGUGGGCGGCAUGGGACAGGGAUAGGGUGGGUGUGCACAGGUGUGCAAGGCGGGCUACUUGAGGGCUGGGCGAUAGUUCAGGUCACCCUCCGGUUGGACCCACGAGGGCGCUGCGUUCCUCAUUCUACAAAUCGUACAAGUCGGGGCACAAGACAGAGAAGCCAGGUCACGUCUCUGCAGUUACACAGCUCACGAGUGCCUGCUGGGGUGGAACCUGGUCUGUCUGUCUGUCUAACACCAGAGCUGCUGCAGAGGGAGCCAAGAUUUGGGUGAGGGAGGGACUCAGAGGUGGGGUGGAGGGUUUGUUUUUUUUUUAACCUGGUUGCCAUUGGUGUAUAAUAAGGUAACUCUGCUUGGGGACUAGUGCUGUGACUGUCUUGCCUGAGGAGGAAACAGGCACAGAGAGGUUAGUUUGCUUUCCUGAUGUUGCCCAGCUAGUUGUGGGUUGAGGUUGGAUUUGGGGGGCACUGAGGUGUGAGCAUAUGUGCUGCAACCACUGCGCUCACUGGCUCGUGACAUGAGCAUAGGGGUUGAAGCCUCUGCCAUCUUUGUUUGAGGAUUUUUGCCAAUUCCCCAGUGGUAGGUGUGCUCUGAAGUCAAGCUUGUGUAUUUCACACUCUCCCUUGACCCUUCUUUUUAGCCUUCAGUUGAAAAAUUCUGCAAGCCACUGAUCCAUGGAAAAUAUUUACGAAUACAUAUAUUACAUAUAUGUUUUAAAUUUAUUUACAUAUAUAUAAACAUAUAUUUGGAAAGGGAUUGUAUCCAGGAGAUUUGGGAGUGAUUGUUUAAGGUAGAAGGAGGCAGGGGCAUGAGAGGGGGAGGGAUGGAGGUGGAGACAUCAGUGGUAAUUGUCAAGGGUGGUUUUUUUUAAUGUUUAAAGAUGUUUAUUAAAGUGUUAUUAUUUUUUUUUAAAGUGUUAUUUUUUAAAAAAUUUAUUUAUUUUACUUUAAGGGUGGUUUUAACAAUCAAUACACUAAGAGAGAGGCAUGCUGGCAGCAAGGACAGGAGUGGGAUGUAAACCAGGAAUGGUGAUUAAUUCUCCACAAUUGAGGGACAUUAAAAAAGAGAUCAGAAGGGUUUGUGGCUAUUAAUUUUGUUAUUAAAAAUAAUCAAGGAAUAAAGAAACAAGGUAAUAAAGACCCCAAAUGGGACAAUUUUGAGAAUGUGUUUUAGGCAAAGGAUUAUAACUAAUCCAGGUCUGGUAACCUGACAUUAACAAACAGAAAAGGCCUCACAGGCUAUUUUCUUUCUUCUAAUGGGCUUUAUGUUCCAUAGAAUGGGCACGCUGGGGUUUCCGUGCCAGAGAAGGUGACUAUGGGCAAAUAAAACCUGGCUGCAUGGGUGUUGAUUGAACAGUUAAAAAUGAAUGAGUGCGUUAACAGUCAGGCAUGGACCAGUGAUGGCAAUGUGUUCCCCACUCCUCAGCUUUAUCAUAGAUCACGGAUGAAUAACGAUUGUAUGUAUUUGCAUUGUAUGUAUUUACGUUGCACAGUGUGACAUUUUGAUAGACACAUAUAUUGUGACGUGAUUACCUUAAUCAAGCGAAUUAACGUAUCCAUCACCUCAUGCAGUUCCCUUUGUCUGUGUGUGCAGUGAGAAUACGUAAGGUCUGGUAAGCACCUUUCUAUUCUCUGCUUCCGUGAGGUAUUACAGAACAAAACCCGGGUUCCAGGCUGUUGAGGCUGUGGGUGGGAAGUGUGUCAACAAGUAUACAGAAGAGUCACUGGUCUUGGGCUGAAUGGUGACCUGAAGCGUAGUGGCUGCGUAGUUAAAAAUGAAUUACACGAGUACAGAAGUGACGAAGUGAGAGUGCCAAGAACGGACCACAAAGACCGUGUUUUACCAGCUGAAGACUGAGAUUUAUCCGUUCAUGUACAAUUGUGGACUAUUUAAAAUAAAACAAUACCUUUACCUUGGUGGUUAGAGGUAUUUGGAUGUACUAAUCGAUAUUUUCAUUCUAGUUCAGUGGUGGAUUCAUCUGUGUUUGUAUUUUAAAAAAAUAUGUGAAAACACUGAAAAGGGCGAAGAUGAUUGCUGCUCCAAGUCUGCGUCAUCUGCAUCCGUUAUUCAGGAAGAAUACCUGCGUUGGUCCCUUCUUGGGUAAGACUCAGAGGGAUGUAUGUUUGUGAUAGUCAUAAUUCUUGUUUUUGAUUAGAAUGGUAAAUACACUCAUCGUAAGAAUAAAAAUUAAUAAAUGAACGAUUACAUGCAACGAGAGGUAUGCUUGGACCAGUGGUGGGACUGUCAUGGAACACAGAUGAUAAUUAAUCCUGUGCUUCUCACCUGAUGGCCAUUAAAAAAUAUCUAGGUUUUAAAAUUCUUUUCAGUGUCAGCCUUGUGUUCCACAGAAUGGAGGCUCCAGAGUGAAAUUAAUGAUACUUUGUCAAUGAAGGUCUUGACUGUGAACUCUAUGGGAAAUGAGCCGUGAGCCAACCAAUGUAAGUAGUGUUUAGUGUUGGUGUUUUGAAGCUGGGCGGUUGGUUGAUGGUUGUUGAUUGCAUUAUUAAAUGUGAAUGGACACAUACAUAAAGGCAAAGAUGACUCGCGUGAUGAGAAUGUCAUGAACCAAGGGUGAUUAAUUUCAUUUAGUGUAACUGUCACCAAAUAAAAAUAAUAUUACCGAGCUGUUCUCUGUAACAAAUGAGCAAAGAAAAGGAACACACACGUCUCCUACAUAUAUAUCACACACAUCAUGUGUUAUGUUUAUACAUGUAUCUUGUAUGUAUCACUUACGUAAUAUGUGUUGUUUAUUUUUCAUAUUUUCAGGCUGGGGUGGGCUUAUAUAUAUAUUUAUGGGGUAAUUAAACAUAAAUAGAUGCGUGUAUAAAGAAGAUCAAGAGAGUCAAGCAUGAACUAUUGAAGACAAUGUACUGUGACCUAAGAUUUAUGAUUACACAGCUCUACAAAGUUGUGAGACAUUAAAACACGAAUAUUUAUGCUGUUUCAUUCAUUUCAGCAGCAUUCUGCUGUUAAUUUAUGUGCCGCACUUUUGCAUCAACACUUCCCUAAUGAAGAAGUUUGAGGCGUUAAGUCAGUGGCAGAGGGCCACAUAACGAAGUGAGGUCUUGGUAGUUUUCUGUUGAUUGAGUAGAAUUCGUGAAUGUUCUUUCAUGAUUUUUGUUUAAAGGGAUAAGUAAAAUUUAAAAGGGCCAAGCAUAGAUAAUGAGGAUGAUAUUUCAUAGAAAGUGAGGCUUAUUAAUUAAAUUCUACAGAAAUAAAGGCCAUUAAAAAUGAUCCAGGGUGUUCAUUUGUCUAAUAGUUGCUGUCUGUUGCACGGAAUGGACAAAUCAUAGUUUAUGUAGUCAUGCAAUAUUUAUGAGAAUUUUCACUCUUAUUUGGGUAGAUAAGGUACUCAAGGAAAAUGUAAUUAAUAGUUGAUGUUCUUCAGUCUUGCCUGGACAGUUAUUCAAGGGUGUUCAUAAAUAAGCAAGUGAAUGAAUGAACAACCACAUGAAUAAAACAAGAGAGGGCAAACAUGGGACAAAGGUGACUGUAUCUCAUUUUACAUGUAGUAAAUUCUUUUUAUUGUAUGUAGCUUCAGCAUCCGUUUUGAACCCAAGUUUAACGUUCUAAUUCCAGAAGCAGGCUUACUCACCCUUGACACAAUUUGCAGUUCUUCGAGUCCCCCCAGUUCUUAAUGUGACAGAUCCAGAUAUAACUACCUUGUACAGCCACUUCCAGGAUACUGCCUCCCUAAGGAACAGCUAGACGCAGCCCACUUGACUUUCCUCACUGACCCCACAGCCUAUGUGGACCACACAGAUAUAGUGGCUUGCUCUAAACUCACCAGUGAGAACUCUGAAGGAAGCCUGCUUGGGAGAUGCCCUAGACCACAGGGCAGGCUUUCCCCUUCCUGGUGGCUGUGUGAGGCACACGGGACCUGUAAGUAAUAAACCGCUUCUGUUGUCUCAUUUCAUGUGUUUUGUUGAGUUGCUUCCUGUGUGUCUCACCUGACCAAUACACUUAAAUCAAACUUCUUUCCUGGUUGGAGAUCUCCUAGAGAGUGGCUGGUAGACUGGACAUGGAUCAGACAAGAAUCAUAAGGGGACUGCCAGUGUAAACGAGUUUCCUUUGAGAGGGACACCUGGUAAUGGGUUAGGAUACUUGGGUGUUACACUGUUUGCCAGGAUAAAGACGUAUCCCAUAAAAAAUACACUGUAAACACCCAUGACCACCUCUCCUGGAUCUCCAUCAGGGCAGACCUAGAAUUUAUAUUCACUCUCUUGAGACAGACCUCAAGACCAUGUGGGAGGAAAGCACAAUACUCAUUAUCCUCGAAUUAUGAUUAUUCCAAUUCAGUUCAUUGAAGGGCCUUUUAAAAAUGCAUUGUUUAGGCACUGAGUGUGGUGGUUCAUACCUGUAAUCCCAGCACUUUGGGAGGCUGAGGCGGGUGGAUCACGAGGUCAGGAAUUCGAGACCGGCCUGACCAACUUGGUGAAACACCGUCUCUACUAAAAAUGCAAAAAUUAGCUGGGUGUGGUGGUACAUGCCUGUAAUCCCAGCUACUCCGCAGCCUGAGGCAGGAGAAUCGCUUGAACCUGGGAGGUGGAGGUUACAGUGAGCCAAGAGCCACUGCACUCCAGCCUGGGCAACAGAGCAAGACUCCAUCUGAAAAAAAAAUGUAAAUGCAUUGGUUAAAGAGUUAGUUAAUAUUCUGGUUUUUGCAUGGGGACAUGUUGGAUGUUGAUUUUAGUACUAUAAAUAAAUAAAUAAUUACAUAAAUGUAUGAAAUAAAACAAAGGCCAAAACAUGGACUCAUGAUGAGAAUGGUCCAAGAAUGAAAGGAUUAUAGUUAAUUAAAUUCUGACUGCCGUACAAAUAAUCUACCCUGUUUCACUCCCUUUGCCAGCUGUUUUGUAUUUCAUUUAGCCCAUGUGCAUAGUUUAUUUACACGUUUGCCCAUAAAUAGAAAUCUGGGCUAUUCACUCUGAGUAAGGAGCACACGAAGAGAUGAAAGAUGAUGUGAGCAUUCUAUUAGAGAGAGAUUGGAUUUAUGGUUGCUCAUUAAAACUUCUUUAGAAACUAUCAAAUUAAAUCGAAGAGUGUUAGCAUAAACCAACGAUGGUGUUUCAUGGAGUGGGGAUUAUGAUUAAUUCAAUUAGGUUCAUUAGAAAAAGUUCCAGACUAUAACCACCCCCCCUUUUUUUUGCCUUGAGACAGGGUUUCAUUCUGUUUCCCAGGCUAGACUUCCCUGGGCUCAGGUGAUCUUCACACCUCAGCCUCCUGAGUAGAUGGUAUACUACAGCUGUGCACCACCAUGCCCAGCUAAUUUUUGUAUUUUUUGUAGAGAUGGGGUUUCCCCAUGUUGCCCACGCUGGUCUCAAACUCCUGGGCUCAAGCAACCCCCUGGCCUUGGCCUCCCAAAGUGCUGGGAUUGCGGGUGUGAACCACCAUUCAUGGCCGCAAUAGAACUUUCUGCAGUGAUGGAAAUGUUCUGUAACGUGUUCUGUACAAUAGGGUAGCUACUAGUCACGUGUGAUUAUUGAGUCCUUGAAAUGUGGCUGGUGUUCAUGAGUAACUGAAUUUUUUAUGUGACUUAAUUUUGAUUACUUUAAAUUUAAAUAGUCACAUGUGGCUACUGUAUCAGUCACUUGUGUCAGGUGUUUGGUUCAUGGCAGUUUUUUGAAUAUUAAAUAUGAAUACAUCAAUACAAAAAUUAAAUAAAAGUGGAUUAUGAGCCAGUUAUUAGUUUGUUUUCACACUGCUGAUAAAGGCAUACCCAAGUCUGGGAAGAAAAAGAGGUGGAGGUAAGAGAAAAUGAGGAAGAUGCAAAAGCAGAAACCCGGGUUAAAUCAUCAGAACUUAUGAAACUUAUUCACUACCGUGAGAACAGAAUGGGGGAAAUCGCCCCCAAGAGAUGAGAUUUGAGGGGGGACACAGAGCCAAACCACAUCAUCCUGCCCCUGGCCCCUCCAAAUCUCAUGUCUUCCCAUUUCAAAACCAAUCAUGCCUUCCCAACAGUUUCCCAGAGUCUUAACUCAUUUCAGCAUUAACCCAGAAGUCCACAGUCCAGAGUCUCAUCUGAGACAAGGCAAGUCCCUUCAGCUUAUGAGUCUGUAAAAUCAAAAGCAAACUACUCUCUAGGUACAAUGAGGGUACAGAUACUGGGUAAAUACGGCCAUUCCAAAUGGGAGAAAUUGGCCGAAACAAAGUGGUUGCAGGGCCCAUGCAAGUCCAAAAUCCAGCGGGGCAGUUGAAUUUUAAUGCUCCAAGAUGAUCUCCUUUGACUCCAGGUCUCACAUCCAGGUCAUGCUGAUGCAAGGGGUGAGUUCCCGUGGCCUUGGGCAUCUCUGGCCCUGUGGCUUUGCAUGGUACAGCCUCCCUCCUGGCUGCUUUCACAGCCUGGCGUUGAGUGUCUGUGGCUUUUCCAGGUGCAUGGUGGUAGAAGCUUAUGGAUCUACCAUUCUGGGGUCUGGAGGAUGGUGGCCCUCUUCUCAGAGUUCCACUAGGCGGUGCCCCAGUAGGGACUCUGUGUUGGGCCAUCAACCCCACAUUUCCCUUCCACUGCCCUGGCAUAGGUUCUCCAUGAGAGCCUCACCUCUGCAGCAAACUUUUGCCCAGGCAUCCAGGUGUUUCCAUACGUCUUCUGAAAUCCAGGUGGAGGUUCCCAAACCUCCAUUACUGAUUUCUGUGCACUUGCAGGCUCGAUACCAGGUGGAAGCUGCCAAGGUUUGGGGCUUGCACCCUUUGAAACCAUGGGCUGAACUUUACCUUGGCCCUUUUUAGCAAUGGCUGAGGUGGCUGGGACUCAGAGUACCAAGUCCCUAGGUUGCACACAGCAUGGGGACCCUUGGCCCAGCCCAUCAACCCAUUUUUUCCUCCUUGACUUCUGGGUCUGUGAUGUAGGGGAGCUGCCAUGAAGACCUGUGACAGGCCCUGGACACAUUUUCCCCAUUGUCUUGGGGAUUAACAUUCAGCUCCUUGUUACUUAUGCAAAUAUCUGCAGCCAGAUUGAAUUUCUUCUCAGAAAACGGGUUUUUCUUUUCUACAUCACCAGGCUGCAAAUUUUCUGAACUUUUAUGCUGUUUCCCUUUUAAAAUGGAAUGCUUUUAAUAGCACCCAAGCCCCCCUUUGAAUGCUUUGCUGCUUAGAAAUUUCUUCCUCCAGAUACCCUAAAUCAUCUCUCUCAAGUUCAAAGUUCCAAAAAUCUCUAGGGCAGGAGCAAAAUGCUGCCAUCCUCUUUGCUAAAAUAUAACAAGAAUCACCUUUGCUCCAGUUCCCAAGAAGUUCCUCAUCUCCAUCUGAGACCACCUCAGCCUGGACCUUAUUGUUUAUAUCACUAUCAGCAUUUUUGUCAAAGCCAUUCAACAAGUCUCUAGGAGGUUCCAAACUUUCCCACCUUUUUCUGUCUUCUUCUCAGCCCUCCAAACUGUUCCAACCUCUGUCUGUUACCCGUUCCAAAGUCACUCAUACAUUUUUGGGUAUCUUUUCAGCAAUAAACCCCACUCCUGGUACCAAUUUACUGUACUAGUCUGUUUUCACACUGCUGAUAAAGACAUACCCAAGACUGGGAAGAAAAAGAGAUUUAGUUGGACUUACAGUUCCACAUGGCUGGGGAGGCCUCAGAAUCAUGGCAGGAGAAGAAGACACUUCUUACAUGGUGGUGGCAAAAGAAAAUGAGGAAAAUGUAAAAGCAGAAACCCCUGAUAAAGCCAUCAGUUCUCAUGAGACUUAUUCACUACCAUGAGAACAGUAUGGGGGAAACUGCUCCAUGAUUCAAAUUAUCUCCCACCAGGAUUUAUGGGAGUAUAAUUCAAGAUGAGAUUUGGGUAGAGGCACAGAGCCAAACCAUAUCAGCCAAUGAUGGGAAUGUUUUUUGAAACAAAUAUGAUUAAUCCAGUUCUGUACAAUUGAGGUUCACUGGCAAAAAAAGUCAUUCAUGAAAAAACAACAUAGGCUUAUUCGUUUAUUUGAUAACUAUUGAGUAUUACAUGAAUGUGUACCCCAUAGUUUCCAUGAACAUUUCUCUAAUGUUGAAGGUCUAUGUAUCUUGAUGGUAAAGGAUCAAAAACUUACCGUCAAAGUCAUAGCGUGUUGAAUAGAAGCUUUGUGAAUAUUCAUCAUAUGAAAUUAUUUACUUUAAAAAUGAUUGAUAAACACUAGAGAUUCCAUUGCAUAGGGCAAGGAUCAUAACGUAACAUAGACCAGGGUUUGUGAUGUUUAAGUCAAUGCGAGUGUAUUCCAUAAAUAAGAGAUCUCUUGUGUUACACUUGUUAGUGAGGAACGUGUAGACAGAUGCACCUCGUUGUCAUUGUGUGUAAAGAAGGCUGAGCUUUGACCAAUGAUGAAAGUGUGUCAUGAUUCAAAUAUAUCCAUACGUUUCUGAACAGGUGAAGCCCAUUAUAUAAAGAUUUCUAUUUCUCCAGUAAUGGAGAAAAAAAAUCUAAAAAACUAAAGAUUAUCUAUCUAUCUAUCUAGUGUACUACUGUUUUUCUUGGUUUUAAUGGUAGACUUUUGGUGUUUUCAUUGAUUAUAUUAUAAAAAUCAAUAAGCGAAUAGAUUUUUAAAACUCAAAGAUCUUAAAUAGGUUAUCUGUCUCAUAUGGUAAAUUUUCUAUAGACACAAAGGCCACAAGAACCACUUCCACUUACAAAAAGAAUAGGAGGCACUGAGCAGUGCCACCUCACAGCAACUCCACAGUCCUGCUGGCCAGAUGAUGUGGGCUCUCCCUACCUGGCCUGUCACUCACAUAAGAGGGGCACAUAGACGGGUUCAUCAUGGUCCUCAAUCUCCUUUUUAUUUUAGGUGAUCCACUCGAUGAUGUUCAUUAAAUUAAUAAUUAAAAUAAUCAAUUGAUUAAGUCAAUUAAGAAUGAAGUGAGUCAGUGUCGAGAAAGAGGGCCAACCAGGGGCCAAUGUUGAGGAUGUGGCGCAAGCCAAGGAUUAUGCUUAAUCUAGGAUCCUACAAUUUUAAUAUUUAAAAAGUUUAAAUCCAGUGUCUUUCACACCUGCUUUCUCUUCUACAGAAUGAGUGCACUGCAGGCGAUCUGCUGUUCCGUAAUGAUGAGGGCUGGGCUGCUUUCUCUGUGGGCAAGGAGCAUGGAGGCUGAUGAAAGAUCUGACUUAUUCGUAAUACAGCGAUGGAGAUGUUGGCUGACGUGUAAGUGGAUAAGGAGCAGAGAGGCACGUGUAAGUAGCAGAGUUCUUGUUCUUGCUUUGAAGGGGGCUGUUCAUGUUGUCCAUGGAAUUAAUUCAAAGGAAUGAAUAGCUACCACAAACAAAAAUAGAAUUGAACAUGCUGGCUGGGCGCGGUGGCUCGCGCCUGUAAUCCCAGCACUUUGGGAAGCUGAGACCGGUGGAUCACGAGGUCAGGCAUUCAAGACCAGCCUGGCCAACAUAGCAAAAACCCAUCUCUACUAAAAAUACAAAAAAUUAGCCAGGCAUGGUGGUGGGCACCUGUAAUUCCAGCUACUUGGGAGGCUGAGACAGGAGGAUUGCUUGAACCCAGGAGGUAGAGGUUGCAUUGAGCUGAGAUCUCACCACUGCACUUCAGCCCGGGUGACAGUGUGAGACUCCAUAGCAAAAAAAAAAAACAAAAAACAAAAUGCUGAGAGAAUGGAUGUUAAGUGUUCUCACCACAAAAACGACAACAAUGGGAGGUAAUGGGUAUAUUAAUCAGCUAGCAAUCCAACAAUGUAUAUACUUCAACACAUCAUGUCGUACAUGAUAAAUACACAUAAUUUGAUCUGUCAAUUAAAAAAAUGCAGUAAUAAAAUCAAAACAAAUGAAAGAAUGCCAUGCAUGGAGCAAUAUUGGGAAUAUGUAAUGAACCAUGGGUUAAGAUGAAUUCAUUUUAGUACAACUGAAAUUGGGAAUAUGUAAUGAACCAUGGGUUAAGAUGAAUUCAUUUUAGUACAACUGAAAUCCCUUACAAACAAAAUCGGAGGGGGUUGUAUUCAUUUUCACAGUUGAUUUAUAGUCUACUCUAUUGUGCACCAUAUUUUAAGAAGAUUCCUCUCUUGCUAAAGAUCUAAGCUUUUAAAUUGCUGAGGAGGGAGCACCUACAAAUGUGGGACAAAUUGCAAGUGUUCUGGUCUUGGAAUGAGAUGAUAGGCUGUUCAUUGAACUGCCUUUAAGUUACAAGGAAAUUAAGUGAAAGAUGAGUGAGGAAAGAGCAGGACACACGGGAUGGGUAGGAAGCAAGGUUACUGAUUAAUCUACAGGUACAAUCUGAGGCCCAAUUAAAAAGAGAUCUUAUUUACCAGCUCUGUGGGAAAUGAGCCUGGAAUAGCAGUCAAAGGUCUUGUUCUUGGAUGUUUGUGAUUCAUAGAUAUUAAAUUAUUUUGUUGGUGAAACCAUAAAUGAAAUAAUAUGUAUAAUCAGUAAACAGUGUAAAAUUAAAUACAUGAGGAAAAAUGUCAAGCUUGGAUCAAUGAUGAGUAAUUCUGAGGCAUAUAAGUCAUUCAUUUUGAUUAAAUCCUAAACUCUAAAGUCCAUCAAAAAGAGACCUAGUUAUUCUCUCUAAGGGAAUGAAGUUUGGAGUAGAAGUUCAGGUUCUUGGGCUUCGAUGGUUCCUGGGUAGGGACUGUAAGUGAAUCAAUGAAUGCAAUAAUAAAGAAAUGUGUAAGUGAAGGUAAAGGUUGUCAUAUGUGGGCCCUUUAUGACAGCAUGUCAUGAAACAAGUAUUAUCAGUAAUAUAUUUGUGUAAUGUGUAAUUUCAAUAUAAUACGUAGGCAAAAGCUGUCAUUUGGAGUACAUAGGCGCUCCGGACACAUAGAAGCACAUAGGCAGACGUGUUCUGGAUCCACAAGAGGUUGCUUGUUGUCAGCUUAUUAAGAAGGGAAAGUAUUUACAAAAACAAAAGAUUACAUGACUGUAAUAGAAAAGGAGCAAGCAUGUGCCGAGUUGAGGAUGUGUUACAUGACACCAGCUAUGACUGAUCUAAUCGUAUCCAUUUAAUUUUAUAAAAAACAACAAAAAAUGGCAAGGGAUAGAGUCAGUUAUUUCUAUGGGUAAUGGGCAUGUGGGUUGUUUUGUCUUGUUCUGUGUUCACAUGUAGAGUCUAGGAUCUGUGGUAAUUACAUAUUGUUUUUUAAGUUGAAUGAAUAUGAUUAUAUCUCAAGGGCCGACUCUGGACAGUGUGGAGCAUGUGAUGUGGAAUAAAGCUAAUGACUAAUCCCGCUCUACCCUGCUGAUGGCCAUAUAGAGAAAGUGGGAUCUAGGUGCUUCCGUCUUGGGUUAACUUGGGUUAAGUUCAUAGACAGAUCAUAGAACAUUCCAGUUCUGGGCUGCUGGUGGGUUUACUGUAUAUUUUACUGAGAGAGGGCCAAACAUGAGGCAAUAUGGAGAAUGUGUCAUAUGACCAGGGUUAUAAUUAAUCCAACAUUAUUUAGUGAGUUUUAUUUAUUUAUUUAUUUAUUGCAUUUUCGGUUUUGGGGUACAUGUGAAGAACAUGCAAGAUAGUUGCAUAGAUACACACAUGGCAGUGUGAUUUGCUGCCUCCCUAUCCAUCACCUAUAUCUGGCAUUUCUCCCUGUGCUAUCUCUCCCCAACUCCCCGCCCCCUGCUGUCCCUCCGCUAUUGCCCCACGACAGACCCCAGUGUGUGAUGCUCCCCUCCCUGUGUCCAUAUGUUCUCAUUGUUCAACACCUGCCUAUGAGUGAGAACAUGCGGUGUUUGAUUUUCUGCUCUUGUGUCAGUUUGCUGAGAAUGGUGGUUUCCAGGUUCAUCCAUGUCCCUACAAAGGACACAAACUCAUCGUUUUUUAUGGCUGCAUAGUAUUCCAUGGUGUAUAUGUGCUAUAUUUUCCCUGUCCAGUCUAUCAUCGAUGGGCAUUUGGGUUGGUUCCAAGUCUUUGCUAUUGUAAACAGUGCUGCAAUGAACAUUUGUGUGCAUGUGUCCUUAUAGUAGAAUGGUUUAUAGUCCUUUGGAUACAUACCUAGUAAUGGGAUUGCUGGGUCAAAUGGAAUUUCUGUUUCUAGGUCCUUGAGGAAUCGCCACACUUUCUUCCACAAUGGUUGAACUAAUUUACACUCCCACCAGCAGUGUAAAAGUGUUGCUAUUUCUCCACAUCCUCUCCAGCAUCUGUUGUCUCCAGAUUUUUUAAUGAUGGCCAUUCUAACUGGCAUGAGAUGGUAUCUCAGUGUGGUUUUGAUUUGCAUUUCUCUAAUGACCAGUGAUGGUGAGCAUUUUUCAUAUGUUUCUUGGUCUCAUGUAUGUCUUGUUUUGUGAAGUGUCUGUUCAUAUCCUUUGCCCACUUUUGAAUGGGCUUGUUUUUUUUUUCUUGUAAAUCUUUUUAAGAAAAUAAAAAGAGGAUUUUGUUGGCUGUGGUUAUGGUCUAUGAAUGAACGUGUAGACAGAUAUCGACAGUUCUUCUCCUGUGUCUUGGAGUUCGUUGUCAUUGAGAUGCUGUUCUAAGAGAAUAAAGGAGGUUAUUUAUAUCUAGAUCAAUUAUUUAAGAGAAGGCCGAGCAUGGGCCAAUGAAGAACACGUGUUAGGAACCAAAGGUAAUGAUUACUCCGGUUAUCCUCCAAUGUUGUCCAGAUACACAGAGCUCCAGGUUGCCCCUCCUUUGGGUAAAGCACACUGAAAUUUCCAUGGAGUAAGUCUUUAGAAAAACAGAUAUGUAAUCUAUUCCACGCUUAAUUAUAUACAUGAAUUAAUAAGUGAAUCACUAGACAAGUAAAUCCGAAAGAUUUUGCAUAAAAUACCAUAAAACAAAGGUUUACAUCUAUCGAAUUUUACACAAGUGAGAUCCACUGUAAGUGAUCACCUAUCUGUUGAAUUUAUGGAUAGGGAGUGUGUAGACAGAUAUUUGUGGUAGAUAUAACUCUUAUUCUCAUGUGGACAUUCACUGUACUAUUUAAAAGCCAAAAGUACCCAAGUCAAUAAAUAAGGAGUGCCGCUUUUGGGCAAUGAUGAGGUGGCGCAAGUUUAAGAUGAAUCUAAUACUGCAAAACAGGUUUUCAUUAAAAAUAUCUAACUGCAGGGUCUUCCCUUCCUUUGGAAGUGUGUGUUUUACUUGACCAAGUGAGCACACCACGGUGAAGAACUGAUGUAGUCAUUCUCUAAUGAUAAAGAUCUUGGCUUGUACCUCCGUGGGUAAGGACAGAAGACACUAAUGUAAGUAGCAGCUACCGUUUACCGUUCCUGGACUGGGAAGUUGCCCGAAUAACUGGAUAUAUUCCUAAAGAAAACGAGGUAACACCAGCAUGGACCAGGGAUGAGGGUAUGUUCAGAACUGGGAUUUACGGUUAAUAUGACUCAGUACCAGUAAACUUCAGUGAAAAAGACGCAGGCUGUUUCAUUCGUUUCCAGAGAUGAUUCAAACUCUGCUUUGUUUCUGUGUUGUGACUCAAGUCCCUCUCCAUUGAUAAAGAUGUAGGCUUCUAGCUCCUUGAGCGGGGAGCACAUAGGAAGAUGGACAAUAUUGUCAGUGUUCUAGAUGAGCAGUAAGGUUAUGAUUCCUUGGUGAUUUAUUGCACCAUCUUUGUUACCUGAAAGAGGGCCAGGUGUGGGCCAGUGAGUAGCAUGGAGCUGACAUGAAACAAGGAUGCUGAUUAGUUUAUAUGUGCAAAAAGUGCAUAUAUAGAUAUGUAUCUGUGUCUGUAUACAUAUAUGCAUAUACCCACACAUAUACUCACAUAUGUGUGUGUGUGUGUGUGUGUGCACGUGUCUGUCUCUGUGGUCAGUGGACAUAUGGACAACUAUUAGUAUUCCACAUGUUCUUGAGCUUCUGGACUCAUGAGGAUUGAUUAUAAUAUUAUUAAUGACUCAAUGAAUAUAGAAAUAAUGCAUAAAGUGUUUUGAGUAUAGCCAGUCAUUAGUAUUCUGAGCUGUAGGAAUAAAAGAUUUUGAUUAGAUUCUGUAGAGGUUUAUUAGAAAAAAGAAACUAGUUAUUUCUUCUGUGGGGAACGGGCUUACAGUAAAAGUUAGGAAAAGCCAAAGAUCUGGUUCUCAGUUCUUCCUGUUGGCGAAUUGCCUGAAAGUGAAGCAAUGCAAGAGGAAAUAAAGAUGGAGAAAUUAAUGACAGCUAAUUACGCAAGCCUGUAACGAAACAAGGAUUAUUAUUAAUUACUGUUAUUUUCGGAGGCACUGAGUUUUAUAACAUAGGUUAAGUCUACCUUACUGUUUUUCAUAAAAGACACAUCUAAUUUCAUGACAGUCCCUGUUGUAAUUUUGGAUUGAUGUUGGGUAGCUGGUUGUCAGUUUAAUUUAGAAAAGAAACAAAUCAUUUACAUGAAAAGUAAUUGUUCCAAUAAUUGCCUAAUUGAAAGAAGGCCAGGUGUGGACUAAUACUGAGAAUAUGAUCAUAGGUGUUGUUAAUGUAAUUCUGUUCGCUGAAUAUUAUUUAAGAAAACAAUAAUGAUCUAGCCAUUUACAUCUUCGGACAGUGAACAUACAAACAGGUAUUAGUCAGUGUUCUCGUCCAGUGUUGUGGCUUUUAUUCAUUUUGAUGUAUUGCAAAAAGUGAAUGAAUAAAUGAGUUUGUGUUUCAAUUAUUUAAGAAAAUAUGGAGGAUUGGCCAGUGUGUCAUCAAGCAAAGAUAACAACCUACUUUUACAGAUUAAAAAAAAAAAAAAAGAAAUCUACGUGGAUCCCACUUUGGAUAAAGUGCAUGUCAACAGUUGCAUGAAAUGGUAUUUUACUUUUGGAUUACUGUUUGGUUUUAUUCUCUUUUUAAAAAAAUGAGCAAAUGAUCAAGUUAUUUUGGGGGUAAAUAAAAGAAAGAACAUACGUGAGUCAGUAAAUGCUUAAAUUAAGGUAAAUCUUGGAUCACUGUUUCUUGACACACUCUCAGCAAUGCUCAAAUAUGGUCCCUUAAGAAAGAUAAAUGAGGUUUGGGUGUGUAUGUGGCUAGGCUCUAUACAGAUGGAGAGUGGUAAUGGUUGCACUUAUUACUUCUGCAUUGGAUGGAUUUAAGGGUUCAUAUGUUAAAAAUUAAACAGUAAAUCCAUACAUAACAGGUAUGGUUACCCUUGAGUCAAUAAGGAGAAUGUGUAAGGAACCCAGGUUUAUCAUUAAUCUAAUCCCUCAUGACUCAGGUCCGUUAAAAGAAGUUAAGUCUUUGCUGUUUGAUUCUUUCUAAAAUAUAUAUUUUCCUUGACACAAUGAGCAUGCUACAGCUAAUUAUUCAAUAACAAUAAAGAUACUGGUGUUUUACCUCUGUGGGUAAGGAGGUCAGAGACCGUUGUAGAUAAUAGUCAAAAUUCAUGUCCUGGGUUUCUGUGGCUUGUUCAUCACUAAAUUAUAUGAGAAGAAUAAACGGGUAAAUAUAUACAUACAUAAAAAGCAAACCGUGGAAGGACCAAUAAUGGAGAUGAACCAAAGUUUAUGAUUCGUCUAAUUCAGCCUAACUGAAGCCCAUUGCAAAUGAUGGAGGGCGUUUAUUUACUUUGCAUUUUAUUUCGUGCCAUGGUUGAUUUACACACAUUUUCUUUAAUGUAAAAGAUCAAGGCUCUUCACUCCUGUAGGCAGAUAGGAAGAGGAAGAUGGUGUCAGUUAAGAUGGGGGUUCACAGUUGUUAUUCUAUUCUAUGAUUAUCUGUUGCUGUGUAAUGAAUUGUUGAACAAUUUAAUGGCUUAAAACAAGAAUAAUCGUUUGUUACUUCUCAUGGUUUCUAUGUGGCAGGAAUCCAGGAGAGGCUUACUGGGGGCAGUUUUGGCUUGGGGUCUCUUGUGAAGUUCCAGGACAGAUGUCAGGUGGAGUUGCAGUUAUCUUAAAGCUUGACUCUACUAGAGGGUCUGCUCCACUCACAUGGCUGCACAGUCGGUGUCUUCACAAAUGAACUCUUCCUUCCUUAGGACUGCUUGAGUAUCCUCACAACAUGGCAGCUGACAUCCCCUAGUGUAAUCAAUCUAAGACAGAGAAAGGUGGAACCUUCAAUGUAUUUUAUAAUCUAGCUCUGAAGUCACACACCAUCAUUUUCACAUUAUUCUAUUGGUAAUAUCGGUGAUCAUGAUUUAAUAUGGAAAGAAGCUACACAAGACUAUGCAUGCCAGGAGGUAUGGGCCUUGGGAGGCAUUUCGGAGGCUGGCUACCUCAUACUAUCUUUAAAAUAUGAACAAAUUAAAGGAAGUGUGGAUGAAAUGCUAACAUGAGAUUGGUAUGAAGCAAGGAAGUGUACUUAAUUGUAUAACGCUGAGCUUCAUUCUAAAAAAUGUAGUAUCACUUCUAUGGAGAAUAAGCUUAUAGAUCUCAAUAAUAUUCAAGGAUCUUGUUCUUAGAUUUUUUUGAUUUGUGUCUAUUGGCUUUAUUAUUAGUGACUCAAUGAGUGAAGCAAAUAAAGGUAUGAAUGAAUGAAUAAAAAAGGAAUGCUAGGACUAGACCAAUGAUGAGUAUUCUGGGGUGUCUGAGUCAAUGAUUUUGAUUAAACCCCAUAACUCUGAGGUCCAUUAUAAGAAGAGACCUAGUUAACACAUAUAUGGUAAAUGAUAUUACAGUAGAAGUUAGAAUUAUUUGGGGUUUUGUUCUUAAGCUUUUGAGGUUCAUAGGUAUGGAUUGUAUUACUAGAAGAGAAUUAAUAAAUGAAUCAUGAAACCAAUAUGUAAAUAAGGAAAGACAAGUAGAGCCAUAUGUGGCCUAAUUAUGAAAAUGUAUAACAUAUUUAUUAUUAAUAUGCUUCUGAAGCACUCAGUUUCAACAUAAAUUGAUGAAAUCUGAUACCUAUAUGAGUAAGGAAUGUAUAUAGAGAUAAGUACCUAGAAAUUGAGGUUUGUCCUGCAUUAUUUAGGUGGUGCUGUUUGUUACUGAGCAAAAGAAAAUAUGACCUAGUCUGGGAGUAAUGAGCAAGGGACAGCUGUUAGUGCCAUUCAGAUUUCUGAUGCAGUCCGUGUGUUAACAGAUACUGAUGAUCUCAUGAGUGAAUGUAUUCAAUUGCUUGAGGAAGGUAAAGCAGUGUUUGUUGACUUUGGCUCUAUUGACAUUUGGGGUAAUUCUCUAUGGUGCAGGGUUGUCUUUUAUAUUGCAGGAUGUGAAGUAACUUCAUUGGCUUCUACUCAGUAGAUGCCAGUAUUGACCCUCCUCCUAGUGUGACAAACGUUUCUGUAGACUUGGACAAAUUUCAUCUGUAGGGGCAACAUUGUCCCUAGUUGAGAACCACUGAGGAACAACAUGGACUGAAGAGGGGUGUGUGUUAAAAAAAGUGUGAAUUAUUUAUCCUGUUGUAUCUUACUGAUACUAAGAUAAAGAAAAACAAAAGACCUAAAACUAGGCUCUUCCCACAUGGCGUCAGGUUUGUGUGUGUGGUUGCGUUUAACUGUAUUACAGUUCUGGGUUGUUGAUGGGUUGAUCAUAUCGUGUUUUCUCUGAAAAAACAAAUAAUUAUUCAUGAAUACUUAAUAAAUGAAUAAGUAAAACAACAAAAGGAUAAAGAAAUACAUAAAGGAGAGUCUAUCAUGGACUUUGGUAAAAAUUUGCCAUAAAAAGUGAUUAAAUUUACCUAAUUCCGUACAGUAUGAAUGAGAUCCAUUAUUGGGGAAAAGGUUCUAGAUUUUUACCAUGUGGGUAGAAAACACAUAGAUGGAUACUUGUGGUAGCUUUUAUUCUUGUUUUGGGUGCCAGAUAAAUCAGUAAAUAAUAUUCCAGGCUAUUUUGGGCCACUGGUUACAGUGUGGUAUGAAUGAGAGUUUAUGAUUAAUCUAGUACAGUUCCACAGAUGUCCCCUGAAUGAUUUAAAUGCAUGUAGGCUGUUCUUUCUUAAAUCUGCUCUUAGUUUACACAACAGAUGCACCAUAUCUGAUUGAAUUAUUCUUCAGUGGUGAAAGUUAUGGCUCGCUCUUCUGUGGGUAAAAGUGUAGGAAUGGAUUUAAGUUAAUUUUUAUAUUCUUGAUUUGUGGGGGAUUGUUCUUGUUUUUUAUUAUUUUAGAGAAAUAAAUAGGCACAUAUUGAAAUAAAGUAGAAAAGCCCUGUGCAUUGCCCAGUUAUAGAAAUGUUUUGUAAACAAAAACAAAAUUAUAUUCUUUGAAAGCAUUAAAGAAAAGAAGUUAGAGGGUAUUUAAAUGACAUUUAGAGAUGAGGACUCUUGCAUUUGAUUUUUACACUACAGCUAAUUCGUAUUUCCUUAAGUGACCUAAUCUCUUGAAUCUUUAAGGGUGGCACAUGAGAAAACGGUUUAUACUGUCAGUGUUCCUAUCGUGGGGUAAGAUGGUGUGUUCACGGUCAUUUACUGUGCCACAUUUAAAAUAUGGACAAAUUAGGCCAGUCGUGGUGGCUCACACCUGUAAUCCUAGCACUUUGGGAGGUCAAGAGUUUGAGACCAGCCUGGCCAACAUGGUGAAACCCUGUCUCUACUAAAAAUACAAACAUUAGCUGGGUGUGGGGCAGGCAAAUCGCUUGAAUCUGGGAGGCAGAGACUGUAGUGAGCUGAGAUUGUGCUGCUGUACUCCAGCCUGGGCAAGACUCUGUAUCAAAAAAAUAGAAAUUAAAUAAAUUAAAAUAAAAUCUGGAUAAAUAAAAUGUAAAGGAGCAAGAACGAAUCAGUGAUGAGUAUAGGAUUGCUAAGAAGCAGUGAAUCCAUGUGUUUGAUGUUUGGAUUCACUGUAAAAUGAUAAUCUGUAAACUUUGUUUAUCUUAGAAAUGUCAUGAUUUUUAUUGUUGCUGUCACCCUGGCUGGAGUGCAGUGGUGUAAUCUCAACUCACUGCAACCUCCACCUCUCGGGUUCAAGUGAUUCUCCUGCCUCAGCCUCCCAAGUAGCUGGGACUACAGGGGCUCAGCAACACACCCAGCCAAUUUUUGUAUUUUAAUAGAGAUGGGGUCUUACUGUGUUGGCCAGGAUGGUCUCGAUCUCUUGCCUUUGUGACCCACCCGCCUUGGCCUCCCAAAGCACUGGAAUUACAGGCAUGAGUCACUGUGCCCAGUCUAUUGUUGAGUUUUAGGAGUACUUUGUAUAUUUUGUAUAAUAGUCCUGUAUCUGGUAUGUCUUUUGAAAAUAGUGUCUCCUAAUUUGCUGCUUGCCUUUUCAUUUUCUUGACAGUUUCUUUAUGGAGCACAAAUUUUUAAAGUUCGAAGAUCAGUUGAUAAUAUUUACAUGAUUCUAUUUAUGGGCUAUGCUGUUCCGUUGAUCUAUUUUUCUGUUCUUUUGCCAGUAGCACACUGUCUAUUACUGUAGCUUUGUAGUAAGUUUUGAAUAUGGGUAAUGCCAGUCCUCCAACUAUGUUCUUCCCUUCAAUGUUGUGUUGGCUACUUUAGGAGAGUUCGGUCAACAUCCACAAAAUAACUUGCUGGGGUUUUUUAUUGGGAUUGCAUUGAAUCAAACUGGGAAGAAAUGGUAACUCUUCUUUGAUUAUAUUCAUUAGCGUUUUGUAGGUUUCUUCAUAUAGGUAUUGUAAUGUUUUGCUAGAUUUAUUCCUUUAUUUUAUCAUAUUGUAUUUUGUCUUCUUAUUACGUAGUAAUGUAUACUAAUAUAUAAUAGAAUAUUUACACAUGUUAUUUAUUACAAUUAUACCUGUUUUAUAUUUUCGGUUGUACUCAUGCAAAUAGUAUUGUUUUUAAUUUAAAAUUUCCCUUGUUCAACACUGGCAUAUUGGAGAGCACUGACUUUUGAAUAUCAGCCUUGUCUCCUGCCGUUUUACUGUGAUCACUUAUUAGUCCCGUGAAGUUUUUUAUUGUUGUUAGUUCUUUCCUCGAUUUUAUUUUCUGCAUAGGUGAUCACAUCACCUGCAGAGACAGUCUCAUUGCUUCUUUCUCUAUCAGUAUGCUUCUAAUUUCCUUUUCUUGUCUUAUUGCGUCAGCCAGAACUUCCAGUAAGAUAUUCAAAGGCAGUAGGGAGAGAACAUCUUUGCCUUCUUCUUGAUCUUAAUGGGAAAAAUUUGAGUUUCUUACCAUUAAAUAUAAUGUUAGUUGUAGAUUUUUUGUAUGUAUUUUUUUUAUUAAGGAAAUUUUUCAUAAUUCCUAGCUUACUGAGGGUUUAUUUUAUUUAUUUUAUUUUUUAUUUUUUGAGACAGAGUCUCACUCUGUCACCCAGGCUGGAGUGCAAUGGUGUGAUCUCAGCUCACUGCAACCUCCACCUCCCAGGUUCAAACGAUUCUCCUGCCUAAGCCUUUCAAGUAUCUGGGAUUACAGGCCUGUGCCACCAUGCCCAACUCAUUUUUGUAUUUUUAGAACAGAUGAGGUUUUGCCCUGUCGGCCAGUCUGGUCUCAAACUCCUGGCCUCAAGUGAUCUACCCACCUUGAUCUUGCAAAGUGCUGAGAUUACAGGUGUGAGCCACUGCACUUGGCCUUAUUUUUUAAUCAUAAAUGGAUGUUGAAUUUUUGUCAAAUGCUUUUUUAUAUUUAUUGAUAUGCUCAUGUGGUAUUUUUUCCUUUGUUGAUGUAAUAGAUUAAAUUAAUUGAUUUUGAAAUGUUGAGCCAAACUUGCAUAUAUGUUACAAAUUCUACCUGGUUGUGGUGGUAGUAUUUUUUUGAGAAUUUUAACAUAUAUGCUCAUGAGAAAUAUUGGCCUAUAGUUUUUUUUUCUUUGAAUUUUUUUUAAUGGUUUUGGUAUUAGGGUAAAGCUGGCCUUUGGGAAUGAGUUAGAAAGUAGAUCUAUCUUCUGAAAGAGGGUACAGAAUUGAUAUAAUUUCUUCCUGGGUGUUUGGAAGAAUUAACCAGUAAAUCCAUCUGUGUCUGGUGUUCACUGUUUUGGAACGAUAAUUAUUGAUUAAAUUUCUUUAAUAGAUAUAGGACUAUUCAAAUCGUUUUUCUUCUUGUACGAGUUUUGGCAGAUUGUGUCUUUCAAGGAACUGGUACAUUUCUUUCAUCAAAUCUGUGGGCGUGGAGUUGCUUAUAUUAUUCCUUUUAAUGUCCAUGGAGUCUGUAGUGAUGUUCCUUCUUUCUGAUGUUAGCAAUCUGUGACUUUUCCUUUUUUCUUAGUUAGCUACCUAGAGGUUUUUUGAUUUUGUUGAGCUUUCCAAAGAACCCAUUUUUUUGGUUGUUGUUGAUUGCUCUUUGUUGAUUUCCUGUUUUCAGUCUCAUUGAUUUCUGCUCUAGUUUUUGUUAUUUCCUCCUUCUGCUUACUUUGGACUUAAUUUACUCUUUUUGUCUAGGGUGGAGGCUUACAUUAGUAAUUUUAGAUCUUUUCUUUUUGAAAGUUAAUAUCAACAUUAUUUUAAAUGAAAAAAUAUAAUUUUAUGUAUCUAUGGGGCACAAUGGUAUGUUUUGAUAUGUAUGUAUGAUGUAAAAUCAUUAAAUCAAGCUAAUUAACAUACCCAUCAACUUUGUUGUUUGCCCAUCAUUUUACUGUGAGACAUCUGAAAUUUACUCUGAGUUAUUUUGAAAUACACAAAUAUAGUCAAUGAAAUAUCAUUGACUAUAGUCACCCUGCUUUGGAGCAGAUGUCAAACUUAUUCCUCCUGUCUACCAGAGACUUUGUACUUUUUGAUCAACAACUCCCCAUUCUCCCUUAUUCCCACCCCAUUCUCUGUUAACCAUCAUCCUAAUCACUACUUCUAUGUGUUCACCUCAGAGAAUAUGUGAUAUUUGUCCUUGUGUGCCUGGCUUAUUUCACUCAGCAUUAUGUCCUCCAGGUUCAUCUACACAGUCACAAACGACAGAAUUUUCUUCUUUUAGAAGGAUGAAUAGUAUUCCGUUAUGUGUAUGGUCCACAUUUUCUUUGUUCAUUCAUCCCUUCCUGGACGUUAUUUUGUUCCAUAUCUUGGAGACUGUGAAUAAUGGUGCAGUGACAUAGGAGUGCAGAUAUCCCCUUGACAUCUUGAUUUCAGUUUCUUUGGGUGGGAUUGCUGGAUAAUAUGGUAAUUCUAUUUUUAUUAUUUUUUGAGGACCCUCCAUAACUUUUACCACAAUGGCUAUACUAAAUUACAUUCCUACCAGCAAUAUAGAGGAGUUCCCUUUUCUCUGCAUCCUUGGCCUCAUUCGUUACCUUUCAUCUUUUUGAUGAAAGCUAUUCUAAAAGAUGUGAGAUGGUGUCUCGUUGUGGUUGUAAUUUGUGUUUCUCUAGUGAUUAGAGUGACUGAGAAUUUUUUUUAUAUAUCUGUCUGCCAUUAGUAUGUCUUCUUUGGGAAAAUAUCUAUCCACAUCCUGUUUCUAUUUUUAAAUUGGAUGUUCUUGCUAUUAGUUUGUCUGUGCUCCUUACAUAUUUUGCAUAUUAAGUCCUAUCAGAUAUAUAGUUUGCAGGUUCUUUUUCCUGAUCUGGAAGUGGUCUCCUCAUUUCCUUAAUUGUUUCCUUUGCUGUGCAGAAGGUUUCUAAUUUGAUGACAUUCUAUUUGUCCAUUUUUACUUUUGUUCUCUGUGUUUUGGGAUCAUAUUAAAAAUUCAUUGUCUAGACCAAUGUUUUGGAGCUUUUCCUCUGGUGGUUUUACAGUUUCAGGUUUUAGGUUGAAGUUUUUAAUCUAUUUUGAGUUGAUUUUUGUAUAUGGGGUGAGAUAAGGAUCUAAUUUCAUUCUGCCUGUUGAUAACCCAACACCAUUUAUUGACUAAAUGGUCCUUUUCCCAUUGUGUGCUCUUGGCACCAUUGUCCCAAAUCAAUUGAUUGUAAAUGUGUGAGUUUUUGAAAGAACUUUUAAUUCUGCUCCAUUGGCUGAUGUGUCUGUUUUUAGGCCGAUAUUAUGCUGUUUUGAUUAUAAUCAUUUUAUAAUAUAUUGUAAAGUCAAGGAUUGGAAUUCCUCGAGCUUUCUUCUUUUGCUCAAUAUUUCUUUUGUGUGUAUGUAUGUGGCUAUUCAGUAUCAUUUGUGGUUCUAUAUGGAUUUAAGGAUUUUCCCUCAUCUUUCUAUGAAAAAUGACAUUGGCAUUUUAAUGGGAAUUGAAUUGCACAUGUAGAUGGAUUUAGGUAGUGUAGACAUUUUAACAGCCUUAAUUCUUUCAACCCAUAAACACAAGGUAUCUUUCCAUUUAUCUGUGUUUUCUUCAAUUUCUUUCAACUAGCGUUCUAUAGUUUUCAGUGUACAGGUAUUUUACUGUCUUGGUUAAAUUUAGACAGUAUUUUUGGUGCUAUUGUAAAUGGGUUUAUUUUCUUCAUUUCCUUUUAAAUUAAUGACCUAUUAUCGUAUAGAGUCAUUACUGAAUUUUUUUGAUGAUCUUGUAUCCUGCAAUUUUGCUGAAAUCAUUUAUCAAUUCUAACUUUUUUUGUGAGGUAGUUUGGAUAUUCUGUAUAUAAAAUCAUAUCAUCAGCAAGUGGAGACAAUCUCACUUCUUUUCCUAUAAAGAUGCCUUUUAUUUCUUCUUCUUCUAGGAUAAGUCUACUUUACUUCCACGUAACAGCCACAGGAUAGAUGAAAUUAAUUUUCUAAGAAACAAAAUCUUGGCAGUUAGUUCCAUGGGGUAAAGAAUAUAGAUACUAAUAUGAUUUAAUCUUUUCCGAAUUGGUAGGAUCCUGGCUGAUAACUCUUUGUGUGGCAGCCUGAGAGAAUACGGAAGACGUUGUCGGUGUUGGAAGAUGGUGGUUUCAUCGCUUUUCAUUGCACUAUCUUUAAAACAUGGGCAAAUUGAAUAAAAGAAGACUACAGAAGAAAUAAUGGUGAAUGAGGGUUUGCUAUGAAGCAUGGAUGUCAAUGAAUCAUCCAUGUUGUCUGCUGUAGAAGGAGAUCUAGUCGUUAGGGAGAGAGCCACUAAUGGGAGAUCUUAUUCCUAGAAUUGUGUGGUUAAAUUAUUAUUCAUGAACCAAUGAAUAAUAAAUGAUGAAGAUAUAAAGGAAGAAAAACGUGCUUGGACCAAUGAUGAGUACCAUGGGGUAUCUGAAACAGGAUUUUUGAUUAAACCCAUAUGCAACUCUGAGGUCCAUUACAAAGAGACACGUAAUUAUUCCUUUUCUGGGAAGUCGAGACUGUUGUGCCCUGUCCUUGGGCUUUGUGGUUCUUGGGGAUGGAUUGUAUUUGUGUUAUAAAAUCAGUCCGUGAAUAAAAAAUUUAUCAAUGAGUGACACAAAAAGCGUAAGUCAUGUACUUAUCAAUGAGUAUAAUGAAACAUGGACUAUUAUUAAAACUUAUCUGAGGCUCCUAAUAAAUUUAUAUCCAAGGCUUGUACCUUCUGGUAAAAGGCAUACGGUCAUUUGUAUGCAAGAGUCAAAGGUUUUGUUUUGGUGGUGGGUUGCUGUUUUAUUAAGAAAACGAAGCAUCUUUAGUCAUGUAAAUAAUUGGUUAAAUAAUUAUUUGAGACCAAGAAGAGACCAAGGAUGAGAGUAUUAAUCUAAUUUUUUUUUGAGACGGAGUUUCGCGCUUGUUACCCAGGCUGGAGUGCAAUGGCGCAAUCUCGGCUCACCGCAACCUCCGCCUCCUGGGUUCAGGCAAUUCUCCUGCCUCAGCCUCCUGAGUAGCUGGGAUUGCAGGCAUGUGCCACCAUGCUCAGCUAAUUUUUUUUUUUUUUUUGUAUUUUUAGUAGAGAUGGGGUUUCACCAUGUUGACCAGGAUGGUCUCAAUCUCUUGACCUUGUGAUCCACCCGUCUCAGCCUCCCAAAGUGCCGGGAUUACAGCCACCGCGCCCAGCCCCCUAAUCUGAUUUUUAAUGGACUUUUACUAAACAAAUAAAAUAAGAAACUUAGUCUGUUCUUCCUGAGGGCAGUGACUCUAGACAGAUGUAAGUAUUCUUCAGUGUUCUGGUCCGGUGCUGUGACAGCACAGAUACUGGUGCCUUUUGUGUAUGAGGGACCAGGUGUGCUUUUACGUCUCUGUUUGUAUUUUACAGUCAGCAAACCAUGGACCAAUUAGGGGCAAAUGUUACGAUAUGAGAAUGCCACUUCAUGUUUAUAUAUGAGAGACCAGGUGUGCUUUUACGUCUCUGUUUGUAUUUUACAGUCAGCAAACCAUAGACCAAUUAGGGGCAAAUGUUACGAUAUGAGAAUGCCACUUCAUGUUUUUUUCCAUGAUGGAUAUUCUCGGAAAAACUCCAGGCUCUUUCAUUGUUUUUCGAAUACAUACAUGGGCCUUUCCAAGUUGUAGUAAUUUCGUUUCUUAGAAAAAUGAUAACAUGUUUUUAAAGAGGCUUUAUUUGUCUCUAUAGAAUGAAAACCAUGUAGCUGGUGUUAUUAUUCUCUAAUCAUGAAGACCAUUAUUGUUAUUUGUGGUCUAAUGAGCAGAAAGACUGAUGUAAGUAAACAUCAAGUUCAUGUUUUGGGCUAGGUCGGUGCUCAUUGAUGGGAGCCCACUACAUUAUUUCGAUAAAACAGAUUGUUAAAUCGCACCUCAAAGAAGGAAAUGCCGGUCACAGACCUAUGAUUUUAAUGUGUCACGAACAAAAACUUAGGAUUAAUUCAACCCAACCCAACUGAAGACGAUUGGUAAAUAAAUGAGGCGCAUGCCGUACAUUGUCAGAGUAACUUAAACUCCCAUUUAACGCUUAAUAAUAGUUGCUUAAUAUAUUCCGUCACUGACAGACAUUUAAGUUGUUGACUUUUUGAGGUAGAGUUACCUUGGAAGAUGUUAGAUGUUAAUUUGCUCAAUUGUGGGCUUACAUGGUAGGUCCAUGGUUUGCAUCCAAAUUAAUAAGUAGACAAAUCAAGUGGAAGAGAAGCUGGUAGACCCCAAUCAUAAGUAUGAUAUUUAAAUGAAGCAAAGGCUCUGAUGAAUCUCUAUGUGUGAACGUGAGGUUCAUCGCAAAAUAUGAUCUAGUUCAUUUCCUCUGCGUGAAAGGGAGUAAUGAACAGAUCUUGGUCCUGUUAAAGCCUUUUGUUCUCAGUUUUGUGUCAUUAAAGGGUAUUGAUCAUAUAAUUAUUAUUCCUGAAGCCAUGAAUGUUUCAGUUGAAGAAGGUAUAAAUGAAUGAGGAAAUGGACUGCCUAGCCUGGAUCAAUGAUGAGUACUGGUGGAGGUGUCUGAAUCAACACUUUUGAUUAAGCCCUCUGUUAACUCUGAGAUCAGUUAUUGAAUGAGAAUCAGCCAGAAUUCUCUGUAGAAAUUACCUAACAGAAGUUAGGAAAAUUCAAUAAAACUUGUUCUUGAACUUUUGUGGUUCAAAGACAUGAAAUGUACUAUUUUAAGUGAAUUCAAUGCAUAAAUAGAGAAAUGUAUACAGGAGACAAGAUGAACAGGCCUACUCAUGGAAGUAUUCUUUGAGAAAAAUGAAAAAGUACUAUAAAUAUUAAUACUGGCAAUCAAACAAGUAUCAUUAUUAAUCUGAGGUAAAAUCCUGUUAUAUGGAACAUACUGUAUCUGCAGUUGAGACAAUUUUUAAAUUUUUAUCAUUUGAUUUUUUAAUUAAGAAAAGGGAAAGUGUUAGCAUCAGCCAGAAAUCCAUUAAGUAACAUCUACUUAACAGAUCUUUAUAAUACACAAAUAUUCAUAAUCAUUAUAGAUCUUAUUCUUGGGCUACGUCAUGAACUCAAUAGUGUCUGUUAUACUAUUUAAAACUAAAAGUUCAAUACUGGCCUGAAAAAAGGUUGCAUUUUGGAGCCAAGGAUUAUUGUUAUCUAGUUCUGCUUGACUAACAUCCGUUUAAGAAAACCUAAAUCUAUUCUAAAUCUGCCCUUUUCUCUCCAGAGUGGAUAUAGGCCAGUUGAUUCAAUCAUGUAAAAAAGAAUUAUUAUCCUGAGUAAGGAGCAUAGAGACAAAUGUAAGUAAGUUCCUUGUUUCGUGUUCGUCCUUUGAAUGGUUUGCUCUUGAGUGUUAGCUAAAGGAUUUCAAAGAAAUCAAUGUCUACACACACGAAAUAAACAAAACACCCCAAACGGACCAAUGAUGGGAAUGUGUAAUGAACCAUGAAUUACAUUUAUUCUAGAUUGUCACAACUGAAGUGAUUAUAAAAGAAGACAAAAGUUCAUGUAUUCUCAGAGCAGCUCAACACUAUUUUUUAUGCCAUGGUUAUUUUACACAUUCCCUUAUGGGUAGAGAUCCUGCUGGCAUCUGUUUUGGGGCAGUCCAUAAGAAUAUAUAAUAUGGCAAUUUCAUUGUUAUUCAUCUAUUUUUUUGGCAAUAGAUGAAUUAAAUAGAAGUGGGCUAUAUGAAAACAGAUGCUAAAUGUGAAUUGGUAGCAUUCGGGGAUGUUGAUCAAUUCGCAUGUACACUUUUAAGUGUCACUGUCCUAGAAAUGUAGUCUGUAGCUCUAUGGACCAAGAGCCAAAAUUUAAUGAUCCUGUUUUGGGGAUUUUUGAUUGCAUCAUUAUUUGUGAGUCAAUAGGUUAAUCAAUAGAUGACAAAAACGCACAUGAUGGACCAGUGAUGAAUGUCAUGGGGUUUCUGAAAGAACGAUUUUGAUUAAACCCGUCUGCAACUCUGAGGUCCAUCACAGAAAGUCACCUCUUUAUUCUUCGCCGGAAAUGAGUCUACAGAACUUUGUUCAUGGGCCUUUGUGGUUUGAGGAAUGAACACAGUCUACCUGAUUUAAUUAUAGUCUUCUGGUGAAGAUCUUGCCUUUUAUCUCUGUGAAUCAGGAGAGAAGAGAUUGAUAAUGAGCAGAGCACACUGGAUUUGGUCAUUUCCCCAAGGUGAAGCGCAUGACGUUUUCUUCUGUGGAAUGAAGACUGUGGCUGGUUUAAUCCGUCUCUGCUGAUGAAGAUCUUGGCUGUUACCUUUUUCGGAAUGGGUGUGCAACAAGUCCGCUAUUCUCCAGCAGGAAGGUCAUGGCCGUUGUCUGUAAUGGAGGCAUGAUGGCUGAUCCAAUCAUUUUCCUCUGAUGAUGGUUUUGAUGGCUACCUAUAAUGAACAGCCCCAUCUGAUUUAAGCACUGCGCCGUGACCAUGAACUCUACGGUUACCUCUGUGUGUCACAGGAAGACUCUUAACGAAUGCUCCCAAGUUGACCUAAGCAGUGUUCCACAGUCACCAGGUUUCUGGUUGCCUCUGUGUUGGAAGCUUGGAGACCAAUUACUUCUCAGAACGGGCAGAGCCACGCCUUCUGCGGAGAUCCCUCUCUGCGGUUGCCUCCGGGUGGGAGCCUGGACACUAAUGGAGGAUGGCCCUGGAGCUGAUUUCAGGAUUCUUUGGUAGUCACAGAUAUACAGCUGCCUCUGCAUGUUUGGCACGUGAAGACCGAUAAUGGACAUACCCAAGUGGAUUUAAAACUUGGUCACUGAUCUCAUGGAGACCCAUAAUGAUCUCCAGUUCCAUCCAUGAAAUUGCAAAUGACAGGAUCGUCCUCUUUUCUAUGGCUGCAUAGUACUCCAUUGUGUGUACGUACCAUAUUUGCUUCAUCCGUCCACCUGCUAUGAUGAAUAGAUAAAGUUGGUAUUAUGGAUCAAUGGCAAUUCGAUAUUCUUAAUUUUCUUAAGAGAAAAAUUCAGUGGCACACCAGAACGUGCUUAAGCAGCCUGCCAUGUUCACGAGCUCCGGGGUUGCCUCUCUGUGUAUGAGCCUCAGUCCUCUUGGAAAGUACGGACCAAUGGAGAGAACGUCUCAGUAUUUUUACCGUCUCUGCCUUGCACUCUUCAGAAUGGAUGCACUGAGCUGACUUCAGCUCUCUUCCUUCGUCACAGUUAAGUGUCCUGCAUAUGAAAGAGACCAAUAAAUGAAGAAAAGGGACCCAAACACGGACCAUUGAUGACCGCUGGUGGCGUUUGAGUCAUGGACAAUGAAUACUACAUGUCUGAAACUCUGAGGUCCAGCACAAAAUAUAAUUAGAUAGAUAUCAGAAAUGUGCAAAUAUCAUAUUCUUGCUUUGGAUUAAUAGAUGUAGAUUUAUCAUUGAUAGAUCAAUGAUAGAAUAAUUAAACAAGGAUAGAGGGUGAAUCGUUGUUCAAUUAUGAAUAUAUGUGAUGCUAUAAGAAAUAUUGGCCGGGUGCGGUGGCUCACGCCUAUAAUCCCAGCACUUUGGGAGGCCGGGGCGGGUGGAUCACGAGGUCAAGAGAUCGAGACCAUCCUGGUCAGCAUGGUGAAACCCUGUCUCUACUAAAAAUACAAAAAUUACCUGGGCAUGGUGAUGCGUGUCUGUAAUCCCAGCUACUCAGGAAGCUGAGGUAGGAGAAUUGCUUGAACCCAGGAGGUGGAGGUUGCAGUGAGCUGAGAUCGAGCCACUGCACUCCAGCCUGGGUAACAACAGCGAAACUUCGUCUCAAAAAAAAAAAAAAAAAAAAGAAAUAUUAUCUCUAAAAAUUUUAAACACUGAUGCCCCUUAAAUAGAUCACGAGUAUCACCUCUUUGGCUAAGGUUCAUAGACUCUAGUAAGUAAGAGUCAGUUUCAUUUUCUGGUUCAGUCUCAUUUGAGAUUGUUCCUUUUGUUAUGAGAAAAAACAUUUCCAUUCUGAAAAAUUAAUAAAUAUAAAAAUAACUGAAUAAUGGAAAUGUGGAAAGGACCAGUGGAGAUAAGGUUUGCAUUUUUUUUAAUUGCCUCUCUGUAUUCAGCAGAAUGGAUGCACUUGGGCUGACCUCAGCAUUCAUGGUCAAGAGAUUUGUGGUUGCCACUGUUGCUUAGGAGCUCAGACAUCAGUGUGAAUAAUAAAUUCAUGUCUUUCUUUAAGAGACUUUUUAAAGGGUAUUUAUAAUGUCACGAAAGUGUGAAAAAUCAUCCAAAAGGCCAGCCUCAGCCAAUGAUAAAUAUGAGAUUGGUUAAAACAUGGGAUUUACUAACUCAUUUAUGACACAUCGAGGAUAAUUCAUGAAAGAGGUAUCACACUGACAGACUAUCCAGAAAGUUCUAGAAUAUUCAAUGCUCUUAUUCUUUGGAUAUUAUAUUUACAUGGAUUAUAAAGUUAAUAUUAAUGAAAUAAUGCAUAAAUACAUGUAGAUGAGGAUUACGCUAAAGAGUCCUAAGCCUGAACCAGUGAUGAAAACUGGUGGCAUAGAAGUCAAGGAUGCUGAAUAAUGUGUGUCCAGAUCUCUGAGGUUCCAUAGAGGAGAAGAUGUAGUCUAUUGCUUUUGAAGUGAUCCUAUAGACAGAUUUUGGAAAUACAAAAGGCCCAUCUUCUUGGAUUCUUUUUGUGAAUUUUGAUUCUUCUUUAAAAUAAAUUUGUCGACAUGAUAAUCAGUGUACACAUAUAAAAAAGUAAAGAUGAGGAGUGUGAAGUAUGUCCACUCAGUGUAAAUGGUGAGACAGCAGAAAUCAUUACAACGUAUUGAAAAUACGAAUACCAUUUAAAAAAACAAGUAAUUUAAGCGUCUUCUUUGACUAAGGAUGACAUUGGCAGUACAGUCAGGUUUCUUAUUUUGCAUUAGAACAAGUGUGGUAUUGUUCAUUUUUUUUUUUUUUUUUUUGAGAUGGAGUUUCGCUCUUGUUACCCAGGCUGGAGUGCAGUGGCGCAAUCUUGGCUCACCGCAACCUCCGCCUCCUGGGUUCAGGGAAUUCUCCUGCCUCAGCCCCCUGAGUAGUUGGGCAUGGUGGCACGUGCCUGUAGUCCCAGCUACUCCAGAGGCUGAGGCAGGAGAAUUGCUUGAACCCGGGAGGUGGAGGUUGCAGUGAGCCGAGGUCACCCCACUGCACUCCAGCCUGGCGUUUGGUGACAGAUUUGAGACACUGUCUCAAAAAAUAAAAAAUAGUCUUCUCUGCUUUGCACUAAUGAAAUGUGAAAUGAUGAAUGUAAGUGAUUCAUCACUGAAUAGGUAGAUGUUUGGGAUAUAAGAACCUCAUUUCUUUGAGAAUUUGUGAUUCACAGACAAUUAUUUUAUUAUGUUUGAUGAAUUCAGAAUUAAUCAAUGAGCAAAAAUAGGGUAAUAUGAGGAAAAAGACAUGUAAACCUGAAUCAGUAAUGAUGAUUGAUGGUUUAGGAGUCAUGGGUGAUAAAUAAUACGUGUCUGGAACUGAAAGGUCUGCAGAAAACAAAAUCUAAUCUAUUUCCUAGGGUCAUUUGAAAAUGACCAUCAGUGUUUGGAAUGAUAGAUUGAUGUUAAGAAUAUGUAAGGGUCUAGUCCUGUUAUUUUGGAUUCAUGGAUUUAUAUAUUACUAUUUACAUAUUAUUAUUUUAAUUGACCCAUGAUCAAAAUAUUAAACAAAUAUAUAAUUUGACAAAUAUGAAGAUGGAGAGGUGGACUUCAACCAUGUGGUGAUUCAAGAUAUACUAUCAACAUAAAAUGACACACUAGCUCCCAUCAUGGAGAAACCCUGUCUCUAUUACAAAUACAAAAAAUUAGCCAGAUGUGGUGGCACACACCUGUAAUCCCAGUUAUUCGGGAGGCUGAGACAGGAGAAUUGCUUGAACCCGGGAGAUGGAGGUUGUGGUGAGCCAAGAUCGUGCCACUGCACUCCAGCCUGGGCAACAAGUACAAAACUCAGAAAAAAAAAAAGAAGGAAGGAAGGAAGGGAGGUGGCAGGGGAGGAAGGAAGGAAGGAAGGAAGGAAGGAAGGGGGGAGGGAAG